GGUGCUCAAUUGGGCAGCACACACUGGAACUGGAACAGUACAGAGAGGAGUAGCAUGGGCUUUGUACAAGGAGGACAUGCAAAUGUGUGAAGUCGUCCAUGUUUUU